rnacentral:rRNA from 1 species
UACGAAGGGUGCAAACGUUGCUCGGAAUCAUUGGGCGUAAAGGGCUCGUAGGCGGCGUGUCGCGUCGGGAGUGAAAGACCGGGGCUUAACCCCGGUUCUGCUUCCGGUACGGGCAUGCUGGAGUGUGGCAGGGGAGACUGGAAUUCCUGGUGUAGCGGUGGAAUGCGCAGAUAUCAGGAGGAACACCGGUGGCGAAGGCGGGUCUCUGGGCCAUUACUGACGCUGAGGAGCGAAAGCGUGGGGAGCGAACAGG